GACACAGUCAGGCCGAGUCGUCUGCAUUAUUCGGAAGCAGCAAACGGCAAUAUUGCACUCGUCCCGGCCUGAGUGCGCGUUCA
rnacentral:pre_miRNA from 1 species